UGUGGGAUUGCUGGAUCAUAGGGUAAAUAUAUGUAUUUAUCUUCAUGUAUAACUGGAAAACUGUUUUCCAGAGCAGCUGUACCAUUUUAUAUUCUACAAGCAAU
rnacentral:pre_miRNA from 1 species